UGUUGAACGUUUUUAAUAUAUCAGUGUGAGACUGACAAAAAAAAAAACAAUCAGCCCCAGGCUGGUAAAUUCGACCAUGAUAGCCGCUAAACUAAUUUAGCAAUCUAAAAAAUGUUAUCUGACAUGGGCUAUUUGAUUGUCUGUCAGUGAGUGACACAACAAGAGAAACUGCCGAAGCACCGCCACAAUGACACCUUGUGUAUUCUACUGUUCAACCUCGCAAAGGCAGAGGGGAAACGACUGUUGUCCUGGGCGGCAACAAUGAGAAUCAGGUUCUCUGUGUUGUGCCUCUCGGAGUCUAUCUGCUGUUGUUACAUUCAAGAGCAACAAUGUCACGUUGGAAGGAAAUGAAUAAGGAUGAGCUAGAGAGGCAGUUUUCGCCCAGCCAAUGGUCGCACAGAAUGUCGGCAGACGACGUUAUCAAAUCCCACGUGACGGCGCUCAAAGAAGGUACGGAGCGUGCCCGGGGUCUGGCCCAAACCCUCCUCAACGUUCCCUAUGGAGAAGGAGAGGGGGAGAAACUAGACGUCUAUGUUCCCACCACCACUUCUCUAGAUGUCCCACUGGUAAUCUACCUCCAUGGAGGCUACUGGCAGUUCCUUAGUAAGGAGGAGUCCGGGUUUAUGGCUGUCCCAUUGGUCCAUAAGGGCGUUGUGGUGGUUGCCGUGGGUUACGACAUCGCUCCCAAAGGGAACAUGGAUCUGAUGGUGUCUCAGGUGCGGAGGAGUGUGGUGUCCGUCAUUCAACAGUAUUCACACAUUAGUGGUCUGUACCUGUGUGGCCACUCUGCGGGGGCCCACCUGGCUGCUAUGAUCCUCUCUACAGACUGGUCUCAGUACAGUGUGACCCCUCAGAUCAAAGGUGCAUUCCUGGUCAGUGGUAUAUAUGACCUCCUGCCUAUCCUGUCCACCUAUGUCAACGAGCCUCUGAAGAUGACAGAGGGUCAAUUAAGGAAGACAUCAUCUUCUGCAAACCACUGGAAACCAGGACAACAUGAGGAUAUUUUUCAAGUACUGGACAGGUUUGUAACAUCAAAUGGACUUUGGUGGUCAAGAUGUGUUGGUAUCUGUACUGAUGGAGCAAAAGCCAUGACAGGGAGACACAGUGGAGUGGUAAAGCGCAUGCGAGCAGUUGCUCCCGACGCCACUUGGGUCCACUGCAGCAUCCACCCAGAGGCUCUUGGGUCCACUGCAGCAUCCACCCAGAGGCUCUUGGGUCCACUGCAGCAUCCACCCAGAGGCUCUUGGGUCCACUGCAGCAUCCACCCAGAGGCUCUUGGGUCCACUGCAGCAUCCACCCAGAGGCUCUUGGGUCCACUGCAGCAUCCACCCAGAGGCUCUUGGGUCCACUGCAGCAUCCACCCAGAGGCUCUUGGGUCCACUGCAGCAUCCACCCAGAGGCUCUUGGGUCCACUGCAGCAUCCACCCAGAGGCUCUUUCUUGCUGCCAAGGGAAUGCCUGACGGAUUAAAAGAUGUUUAGAACACUACAGUGAAAAUGGUUACCUUUGUUAAAGCAAGGCCCCUGAACUCUCGAGCCUGCUCAACCAUACCUGGCUAAAUGCUCCCCGUAGCCAGGCCAGUGCGGCGAGGUGGAAUAGCUCGCACUGGGCUGUGCUGGCGAACCGGGGACACCAUGCGCAGGGCUGGUGCCAUGUACCCCGGCCCGAGGAGACGCACUGGGGACCAGAUGCGCUGCGUCGGCUUCAUGGCACCUGGCUCGAUGCCCACUCUAGCCUGGCCGAUACGGGGAGCUGGGAUGUAGCGCACCGGGCUAAGCACGCGUACUGGGGACACGUGUACCUCACGGCAUAACACGUUGCCUGCCCGGUCCCUCUCUCUCCACGAUAAGCACGGGGAGUUGGUGCAGGUCUCCGACCUGACUUCGACACACUCCCCGUGUGCCUCCCCCCAAUUUUUUGGGGGGCUAGCUCUCGGGCUUCCAGCCGCGCUGCUGUGCUGCCUUCUCAUACCACCGCCUCUCGGCUUUCGCUGCCUCCAGCUCAGCCUUGGCGAUACUCUCCCAGCUAUACCCAGGGUCCCUUGCCGUCCAGAAUCUCCUCCCAUGUCAAGGAGUCCUGUGAUCGCUGCUGCUGCUGCCCGUUACCACGCUGCUUGGUCCUUUGGUGGUGGGUGUUUCUGUAUUCUAGAGGUAUUAUUUAUGACUGUGGGGUUUCCGCUGUCCGGUUAGAUACCAGGGGGGUAUUCUAGAGGUAUUAUUUAUGACUGUGGGGUUUCCGCUGUCCGGUUAGAUACCAGGGGGUAUUCUAGAGGUAUUAUUUAUGACUGUGGGGUUUCCGCUGUCCGGUUAGAUACCAGGGGGUAUUCUAGAGGUAUUAUUUAUGACUGUGGGGUUUCCGCUGUCCGGUUAGAUACCAGGGGGGUAUUCUAGAGGUAUUAUUUAUGACUGUGGGGUUUCCGCUGUCCGGUUAGAUACCAGGGGGGUAUUCUAGAGGUAUUAUUUAUGACUGUGGGGUUUCCGCUGUCCGGUUAGAUACCAGGGGGUAUUCUAGAGGUAUUAUUUAUGACUGUGGGGUUUCCGCUGUCCGGUUAGAUACCAGGGGGUAUUCUAGAGGUAUUAUUUAUGACUGUGGGGUUUCCGCUGUCCGGUUAGAUACCAGGGGGGUAUUCUAGAGGUAUUAUUUAUGACUGUGGGGUUUCCGCUGUCCGGUUAGAUACCAGGGGGGUAUUCUAGAGGUAUUAUUUAUGACUGUGGAGUUUCCGCUGUCCGGUUAGAUACCAGGGGGUAUUCUAGAGGUAUUAUUUAUGACUGUGGAGUUUCCUCUGUCCGGUUAGAUACCAGGGGGGUAUUCUAGAGGUAUUAUUUAUGACUGUGGCGUUUCCGCUGUCCGGUUAGAUACCAGGGGGGUAUUCUAGGUGGUGUGUAUGUACGCCUGUGUUUGGCGCCACCUAUUUUUGUACAUUUCUUGGUUGGACAAUAAAGCGUGUUUUCCCCAUUCCUUGGCUCUCUGCGCCUGACUCCAAACCCAGUCACCUCUUUCAACGUUACAAUUGAGGCUAUGAUUAAGAAGUUGGAGCUCUUCUCUGUCUGUAUUAACAAGGACAACACACAGGUCUUUCUAUCAUUGUAUGAUUAUUUUGUGUGCAAAUGACCUCAAGCUUACGGACAAUGUCAAAUGUGAUAUAGUGAAGCACCUGAGUGAGCUGGGUGCACAAUUACGCAGGUACUUUCCCGAAACGGACGACACAAACAACUGGAUUCGUUAUCCCUUUCAUGCCCUGCCUCCAGUCCACCGAUAUCUGCACAACAGCCUCAUCGAAAUGGCAACAAGCGGUUCUGUGAAAAUUGAAUUUAAUCAGAAGCCACUGCCAGAUUUCUGAUAGGGCUGCACUCAGAGUAUCCUGCCUUGGCAAAUCACGCUGUUAAGACACUGAUGCCCUAUUCAGCCACGUACCUGUGUGAGAGUGGAUUCUCAGCCCUCACUAGCAUGACAACUAAAUACAGACACAGACUGUGGAAAAUGAUUUAAGACUGAGACUCUCCAAUACAACCCAACAUUGCAGAGUUAUGUGCAUCCUUUCAAUCACACCCUUCUCAUUAACCUGUGGUGAGUUAUUCACAAUUUUCGAUGAACAAAUAAGGUUUUAUAUGUAAAAUGGUUAAAUAAAGAGCAAUAUUAUUGAUUAUUAUUAUUUGUGCCCUGGUCCUGUAAGAGUUCUUUGUCACUUCCCACGAGCCAGGUUGUGACAAACUCACUCUUAUGUUUAAUAAAUGUAUAGUGUGUGUGGAGGCUUACAAUGAUGGCAAAAAACAACAUUUGAGAGUAUGCUAACCUGGUGCUAGAGGGGGUACAGCUGACCCUGGUGCUAGAGGGGGUACAGCUGGAGGUUGAAUGUUUAAAGGGGUACGGGACUAUAAAACGUUUGGGAACCACUGCUCUACCGUAUCUACUAAUGGUCAUCUAAGGUCAGCGAGUAAUGGUGUUUAUCAAUGGCCAAAUUAUUUGUGUGUGUUUGUGUAUGUGAGAGAGUGAAGAAGAUGAAAUGAAUCCUAUAUUUAGAGAGAGAGAUGUAGUCUGUGUGUUUGGCACUGUGUAUGUGAGAGAGUGAAGAAGAUGAAAUGAAUACUAUAUUUAGAGAGAGAGAGAUGUAGUCUGUGUGUUUGCUUUGUGGGUGUCCAGUAGCAGUCAGAGCCAGUCAGAGCCACCACCAGAAGCUCCCCCCUCUCUCUCGCCUCUUGUUUCCCCUCUUUCUCUCUGUCUCACUCUCUGUCUCU